CUCCUGGUGGCGCAGUGAUAGAGUGUUGGACUAGUAACCCAGAGACUGCUGGUUCGAACCCAGGUCCUGGGCA
rnacentral:tRNA from 1 species